CAACUUCAUGUUAUCGUCCUGUAAUUUAACAAUUUGUCAACAAGUUUCUCAACUUAUUGACAAAUUGUUAAAUUACAGGACGAUAACAUGAAGUUGUUGAAACAGC